GCCACGGUGGUCUAGCGGUUAGAAAGCUGGCCUUGUAAUCCUGGGGCCUCGGGUUCGAUUCCCGGCGGUGCCC
rfam:Zootermopsis nevadensis contig28224, whole genome shotgun sequence.